CCAACAACGGCCUAGGAAGCUCGAUGCCCUCGCGGCCCAGGCUCUUCCAUGGCUUGCGGACAGCUGCCAUAGCGCUAACCGGGGCACUAGUUUGGUGACAUCCACUGUCACGUUCACAGUUGUCAUGUCACUCUGCUAUCUAAACUGCGGACAACAACUCUGGCAUAUUACCUGUUUCAAUGCUCUCAAACAUCAAUGCACAGCACAUGAGGACUGAGCUUUUUUUAAGUGGCAGCCUCCUACGCUGGACACGGACAUGGAUGCAGACAUUUGUUAAAACAAGUAAUCUAGAAACAUAAA